rnacentral:lncRNA from 1 species
AUCAUGUUCUCCUCCACCAGUCUUACACACUGCUUUUGGAUAACUUUAUGCUACUCACUCCUGGUGCAAAAAUUCAAGCAGUUCAGUUUGGUUUGAUGGCUUGUGAUCAUCCAUCUUACUCUUGAUUAUAUUCCAGAGGUUUUUAACUUGGUAAAAUCAAAGAAACUCAUAAUUUUUAAGUGGUCUCUUAUUUUUUUUUCCAGAGCUGUAGGAACAGUCUUGAUAAGUCUGGACUCUGCAGAUCCUGAGGUACAUAGUAGACAAGGAGGAGCCUGGGCAUCAGAACUGAACCAACCCAGAGGUGGUGAGGAAGUACAUGGAGGAGCAUGAGCCGUCAGCUUCUGAAAGGCCGCAAAGAGAGGCCUGCACAUGCUGCACUUUCACCAGUGCCAACAUGAUUGACAAUCAGUUCCAGCAACAGGCCACCCUUCUAUCAUCCGUCAUGGUAAAAAAACAAGUCUCCCUCUUUUUCUAUUCUUUCUAUAGAUAUAUCUGAUUUCAAUUAAUCAAUGUUGUGAUGCGAAACCCAACGACUAUAGAAAACAUAUGAUGGGCAUCAUAGUUUAACACCUUUCCAUUCUAUAGAAUGAAGGCAAAAUUAAAAGAAGAUUUUAGCCUUCUCCCAGACCAUGGGCCCUAUCGUAAACCCUGCUCAAGACAGGUUGAGAUGCUUGUUGCUUUCUUACACCCCGUCAAC